GGAGCUGUGGCUCAGUGGUAGAAUUCUUGCCUAGGAUGCAUGAGAUUCUGGGUUCGAGCCCAGCACCA
rnacentral:tRNA from 1 species